rnacentral:rRNA from 1 species
GACGAACGCUGGCGGCGUGCCUAAUACAUGCAAGUAGAACGCACAGUUUAUACCGUAGCUUGCUACACCAUAAACUGUGAGUUGCGAACGGGUGAGUAACGCGUAGGUAACCUGCCUGGUAGCGGGGGAUAACUAUUGGAAACGAUAGCUAAUACCGCAUAAUAUUGAUUAUUGCAUGAUAAUUGAUUGAAAGAUGCUAUUGCAUCACUACCAGAUGGACCUGCGUUGUAUUAGCUAGUAGGUGAGGUAACGGCUCACCUAGGCGACGAUACAUAGCCGACCGGAGAGGGUGGUCGGCCAAACUGGGACUGAGACACGGCCCAGAAUCCUUCGGGGGGCAGCAGUAGGGAAUCCUCGGCAAUGGACGAAAGUCUUACCGAGCAACGCCGCGGGAGUGAAGAAGGUUUUCGGAUCGUAAAGCUCUGUUGUAAGAGGAGAACGGGUGUGAGAGUGGAAAGUUCACACUGUGACGGUAUCUUACCAGAAAGGGACGGCUAACUACGUG